GGGAAAUAUUUGCUUUGGUGGCUGCCACCAGCUUCCCACAGCCUCGGGAUGCACCCAGCCAGCUGACAAACAGGACAAAUGCACGGAAUGCAAGGCUGAAGAGGAACACACGGAGCCAAGGCCACUCCUGGGAAGGUGUGGGAACAGGAGGGUGACCUGCAGAGACAUCAACUGCUCUGGAGCAAAACCAGGAAGAAGGAACUGGUCCAGGAAGCCCACCUGGACCUGGGGUGGGCUCUGGAUGGUUCACACACUCACCCACACAACCUAACCCAGCAAACAUGGAAUGGGGAUGGAGAAGGCAGCAAAGUCAGCCCACAGAUCCCAAGGCUGCUGUGAGGAGCAGGAGCUCCAGCAGCUCUGGGGACUCACCGUUCUGGACACAAUAAGGCAACUCUGGAGUGGAAGUUCUGCUGUGGGGAGCAGCCUCGAGGCCCCUGUGAGCACACAGCCCCUGCUCACAGGCAGGCUGAAUGGAUUCCAGCUUUGCCAUCUCCUAACGUGGCAGUGGAAAGGUUAUUACCCCAGCAAAACAAGCAGGCUUAAAGCACAACCACUUCCCCAAACAGUGAUGAGUCCAGCACUAUGGCAAGUGUGUUUUAGC